UGCAGUCGAGCGGUAGCACAGAGAGCUUGCUCUCGGGUGACGAGCGGCGGACGGGUGAGUAAUGUCUGGGAAACUGCCUGAUGGAGGGGGAUAACUACUGGAAACGGUAGCUAAUACCGCAUAACGUCGCAAGACCAAAGUGGGGGACCUUCGGGCCUCAUGCCAUCAGAUGUGCCCAGAUGGGAUUAGCUAGUAGGUGGGGUAACGGCUCACCUAGGCGACGAUCCCUAGCUGGUCUGAGAGGAUGACCAGCCACACUGGAACUGAGACACGGUCCAGACUCCUACGGGAGGCAGCAGUGGGGAAUAUUGCACAAUGGGCGCAAGCCUGAUGCAGCCAUGCCGCGUGUGUGAAGAAGGCCUUCGGGUUGUAAAGCACUUUCAGCGGGGAGGAAGGCGAUAAGGUUAAUAACCUUGUCGAUUGACGUUACCCGCAGAAGAAGCACCGGCUAACUCCGUGCCAGCAGCCGCGGUAAUACGGAGGGUGCAAGCGUUAAUCGGAAUUACUGGGCGUAAAGCGCACGCAGGCGGUCUGUCAAGUCGGAUGUGAAAUCCCCGGGCUCAACCUGGGAACUGCAUUCGAAACUGGCAGGCUAGAGUCUUGUAGAGGGGGGUAGAAUUCCCAGGUGUAGCGGUGAAAUGCGUAGAGAUCUGGAGGAAUACCGGUGGCGAAGGCGGCCCCCUGGACAAAGACUGACGCUCAGGUGCGAAAGCGUGGGGAGCAAACAGGAUUAGAUACCCUGGUAGUCCACGCCGUAAACGAUGUCGAUUUGGAGGUUGUGCCCUUGAGGCGUGGCUUCCGGAGCUAACGCGUUAAAUCGACCGCCUGGGGAGUACGGCCGCAAGGUUAAAACUCAAAUGAAUUGACGGGGGCCCGCACAAGCGGUGGAGCAUGUGGUUUAAUUCGAUGCAACGCGAAGAACCUUACCUGGUCUUGACAUCCACAGAACUUUCCAGAGAUGGAUUGGUGCCUUCGGGAACUGUGAGACAGGUGCUGCAUGGCUGUCGUCAGCUCGUGUUGUGAAAUGUUGGGUUAAGUCCCGCAACGAGCGCAACCCUUAUCCUUUGUUGCCAGCGGUUAGGCCGGGAACUCAAAGGAGACUGCCAGUGAUAAACUGGAGGAAGGUGGGGAUGACGUCAAGUCAUCAUGGCCCUUACGACCAGGGCUACACACGUGCUACAAUGGCAUAUACAAAGAGAAGCGACCUCGCGAGAGCAAGCGGACCUCAUAAAGUAUGUCGUAGUCCGGAUUGGAGUCUGCAACUCGACUCCAUGAAGUCGGAAUCGCUAGUAAUCGUAGAUCAGAAUGCUACGGUGAAUACGUUCCCGGGCCUUGUACACACCGCCCGUCACACCAUGGGAGUGGGUUGCAAAAGAAGUAGGUAGCUUAACCUUCGGGAGGGCGCU
rnacentral:rRNA from 1 species